rnacentral:rRNA from 1 species
AGUGAACGCUGGCGGUAUGCCUAACACAUGCAAGUCGAACGGCAGCACAGUAAGAUCUUGCUCUUACGGGUGGCGAGUGGCGGACGGGUGAGGAAUACAUCGGAAUCUACUUUUUCGUGGGGGAUAACGGAGGGAAACUGACGCUAAUACCUCAUACGACCUACGGGUGAAAUCAGGGGAUCUUCGGACCUUUCGCGAUUGAAUGAACCGAUGUCGGAUUAGCUAGUUGGCGGGGUAAAGGCCCACCAAGGCGACGAUCCGUAGCUGGUCUGAGAGGAUGAUCAGCCACACUGGAACUGAGACACGGUCCAGACUCCUACGGGAGGAAGAAGUGGGGAAUAUUGGACAAUGGGCGCAAGCCUGAUCCAGCCAUACCGCGUGGGUGAAGAAGGCCUUCGGGUUGUAAAGCCCGUUUGUUGGGAAAGAAAAGCAGCAGGUUAAUACGCCGAUGUUCUGACGGUACCCACAGAAUAAGCACCGGCUAACUUCGUG